rnacentral:rRNA from 1 species
GACGAACGCUGGCGGCGCGCUUAACACAUGCAAGUCGAACGGAAAGGCCUGCUUUCCCUUGUGGAUUGCGGGUACUCGAGUGGCGAACGGGUGAGUAACACGUGAGUGAUCUGCCCCCAACUUGGGUAUAAGCCUGGGAAACUGGGUCUAAUUCCCGAUAGGACUGCAGGGUGGUGCCUGUGGUGGAACACGAUUUUCUAGUGGUUGGGGAUGAGCUCGCGGCCUAUCAGCUUGUUGGUGGGGUAAUGGCCUACCAAGGCGGCGACGGGUAGCCGGCCUGAGAGGGUGGACGGCCACAUUGGGACUGAGAUACGGCCCAGACUCCUACGGGAGGCAGCAGUGGGGAAUAUUACACAAUGGGCGGAAGCCUGAUGCAGCGACGCCGCGUGGGGGAUGACGGCCUUCGGGUUGUAAACUCCUUUCGACCGCGAGGAAGCCACCUGGUUGGAAGGGUGGUGACGGUAGUGGUAGAAGAAGCACCGGCUAACUACGUG